AGCGAACGCUGGCGGCGUGCUUAACACAUGCAAGUCGAACGUGAAAUGUAGCAAUACAGAGUAAAGUGGCGUACGGGUGAGUAACACGUGGGUAAUCUACCUUAGAGUCUAGAAUAACCGGCCGAAAGGCUGGCUAAUACUAGAUAGUUCAAGCGCACUGUAGAGGUGUGAUUGGGAAAGGGAGCUCGCAAGAGCCUUUGCUUUAAGAUGAGCCCGCGUCUGAUUAGCUAGUUGGUAAGGUAAUGGCUUACCAAGGCGAUGAUCAGUAGCUGGUCUGAGAGGAUGAUCAGCCACACUGGAACUGAAACACGGUCCAGACUCCUACGGAGGCAGCAGUGGGGAAUCUUGCGCAAUGGACGAAAGUCUGACGCAGCCACGCCGCGUGAGUGAAGAA
rnacentral:rRNA from 1 species